rnacentral:rRNA from 1 species
ACGCUGGCGGCGUGCCUAACACAUGCAAGUCGAACGGGGUGAGUUCCUCGGGGAUCACUUAGUGGCGAACGGGUGAGUAACGCGUGAGGAACCUGCCUUUCAGUGGGGGACAACAGUUGGAAACGACUGCUAAUACCGCAUAAUGUAGCGAGACCGCAUGAUCUUGCUACCAAAGCUUUAUGUGCUGAAAGAUGGCCUCGCGUCUGAUUAGAUAGUUGGUGAGGUAACGGCUCACCAAGUCGACGAUCAGUAGCCGGUCUGAGAGGAUGAACGGCCACAUUGGGACUGAGAUACGGCCCAGACUCCUACGGGAGGCAGCAGUGGGGAAUAUUGGGCAAUGGGGGAAACCCUGACCCAGCAACGCCGCGUGAAGGAAGAAGGCCUUCGGGUUGUAAACUUCUUUUACCAGGGACGAAUACGUGACGGUACCUGGAGAAAAAGCAACGGCUAACUACGUG